ACGUGAUCUGAGUUCAGACCGGAGUAAUCCAGGUCAGUUUCUAUCUAUAGCAGAGCUCUUUCUAGUACGAAAGGACCGAAAAAGCAUGGCCAAUACUCUAUGCAAGCCGUAAUUACUAAUUUAUGACCCAACCUCAAUAAAUAACUAGCCUACUACUGGGACUCAAAAAAAGAGU
rnacentral:rRNA from 1 species